rnacentral:rRNA from 1 species
GAUGAACGCUGGCGGCGUGCCUAAUACAUGCAAGUCGAGCGAACAGACGAGGAGCUUGCUCCUCUGACGUUAGCGGCGGACGGGUGAGUAACACGUGGAUAACCUACCUAUAAGACUGGGUUAACUUCUGGAAACCGGAGCUAAUACCGGAUAAUAUAUUGAACCGCAUGGUUCAAUAGUGAAAGACGGUUUUGCUGUCACUUAUAGAUGGAUCCGCGCCGCAUUAGCUAGUUGGUAAGGUAACGGCUUACCAAGGCAACGAUGCGUAGCCGACCUGAGAGGGUGAUCGGCCACACUGGAAAUGAGACACGGUCCAGACUCCUACGGGAGGCAGCAGUAGGGAAUCUUACGCAAUGGGCGAAAGCUUGACGGAGCAAAGCCGCGUGAGUGAUGAAGGUAUUCGGAUCGUAAAACUCUGUUAUUAGGGAAGAACAAAUGUGUAAGUAACUAUGCACGUCUUGAAGGUACCUAAUCAGAAAGCCACGGCUAACUACGUG